CACAUAAGACAUGCAAGUCGAACGGACUUAACCAUAGUUUACUAUUGGAGCGGUUAGUGGCGGACUGGUGAGUAACACGUAAGCAACCUGCCUGUUAGAGGGGAACAACAGUUAGAAAUGACUGCUAAUACCGCAUAUGCCUUGAGUAUCGCAUGGUACAAGAGGGAAAGGAGCAAUCCGCUAACAGAUGGGCUUGCGUCUGAUUAGCUAGUUGGUGGGGUAACGGCCUACCAAGGCGACGAUCAGUAGCCGGACUGAGAGGUUGAACGGCCACAUUGGGACUGAGAUACGGCCCAGACUCCUACGGGAGGCAGCAGUCGGGAAUAUUGCGCAAUGGAGGAAACUCUGACGCAGUGACGCCGCGUGCAGGAAGAAGGUUUUCGGAUUGUAAACUGCUUUAGACAGGGAAGAAAGAAAUGACAGUACCUGUAGAAUAAGCUCCGGCUAACUACGUGCC
rnacentral:rRNA from 1 species